AUAUAUCAUUGUAUUUUGCCUCGUAUAAUUGUGGAGAUAUGGUCCACGAGUUUCUACCGGACGGCCGUAAACUGUUCGACUACGGGGGAAACACCUGGGAUG
rnacentral:ncRNA from 2 species